ACGGCGAUGCGGUAGGUGCCGGCCUGCUUGAGCUGCAGGUCGAAGGUGCUGCGCAGCUUGCCGCGGUUCAGGUUCUCGGCGUCGGC
rnacentral:tRNA from 1 species